GACGAACGCUGGCGGCGUGCUUAACACAUGCAAGUCGAACGGAAAGGCCCUGCUUUUGUGGGGUGCUCGAGUGGCGAACGGGUGAGUAACACGUGAGUAACCUGCCCUUGACUUUGGGAUAACUUCAGGAAACUGGGGCUAAUACCGGAUAGGAGCUCCUGCUGCAGGGGGGGGGUGGGAAAGUUUCGGCGGUUGGGGAUGGACUCGCGGCUUAUCAGCUUGUUGGUGGGGUAGUGGCUUACCAAGGCUUUGACGGGUAGCCGGCCUGAGAGGGUGACCGGCCACAUUGGGACUGAGAUACGGCCCAGACUCCUACGGGAGGCAGCAGUGGGGAAUAUUGCACAAUGGGCGGAAGCCUAAUGCAGCAACGCCGCGUGCGGGAUGACGGCCUUCGGGUUGUAAACCGCUUUCGCCUGUGACGAAGCGUGAGUGACGGUAAUGGGUAAAGAAGCACCGGCUAACUACGUG
rnacentral:rRNA from 1 species